GCCGAUGUAGCUCAGUUGGUAGAGCGCGUCCUUGGUAAGGACGAGGUCACCGGUUCAAUCCCGGUCAUCGGCUCCA
rnacentral:tRNA from 2 species